rfam:Rhizoclosmatium globosum strain JEL800 BCR33scaffold_330, whole genome shotgun sequence.
AGGAAUGUAGUUCAAUGGUAGAAUGGUAAGUUUGGGUCUUAUCGAUAGUGGUUCGAUUCCACUCAUUCCUA